rnacentral:pre_miRNA from 1 species
AUCUUUUGAAAAGGGGCCUCGCUGAGUAUGACACUGAUGCUAAUUAUGGACCGAAUCUCCAGGAUCCAUAAAAGUUCAGUGUCAAACUCGGCGUGAGCCCCGAGACCUGAGGGGGUC